rnacentral:lncRNA from 1 species
GUUCCGUCACUUAUCUAAUUAAUUAUUAAUGGGAACACCUUAUUGGAUUAUUGUUAAAAUUAUUUUCUUAUAAUAUUAAAAACCCGUUCGCACAAAAUUCCCUUAGCGACGUCAUACUGGGUGUAUCGUGGCCACAUUGAUAUUUCGUGAGGUUGGUACUGACGCCUGUCGCCAGCUGUCACGAGGUCGGAACGGUGAAGGGAGGCCAUUGACUUGGGAGUGUCAUGUGAGUGCAGAUGGCGGCGUGAAUUUCUUUGUAAAUUAAAUAAGUUAUUUCCUGUUGCAUAGUUCAAUUAUUGCUAUUGCAAGUUAUAUUUGUUUUUUUGGGUGAAUUAAAGUGACGGAAUAAUGGAACUGUAAGAAAACGGAUCUCACGCCGGUAUGUUUUUUAUAAUAGUUUUUAAGAUGGUAUCAUAAUUUUGGCAAUUAUAGUUCUCAUUAUAGAUUUAAUUUAAAUCAAGUCAUCGAUUGGUUUUAUGUAGAAUAUUGCAGUUUCUAUAAUGUAUCCAGAAAAGAUCUUUAAUAAUAUUCUUAAUAUGUGGUUAUGUUCAUAAAAAUUUUCCAGUUCUGAAACUUUUUCUGACAAAAAAAAAUUUCUUUGUUUUGAAAAGUUCUUCCUGAAACCUAUUAAAUUUUACUUCAUAGACUUCAUAAUUCUUUUCCCAUAUCUAGUAUGUUCAUAUAUUUUUACAGUACCUAUUUCUUUAUACAAAACAUGUACAACUUCCUUUGAAAAAAAAAACCAAAUAUAUUAUUUGUUAAGAUAAAAAAAAAAGACAUUCUACAUGUAAAUUGUAAUUCUCCUUGUCUAUUCGAAUCAAGGCCAUAUUUGUUAAAAGUCUUAUCACAACCCAUGGUUAAAAUGUCAAGCUAGAUAGGUUUUUUGGGUCAAUGAAAGGUCGGUUUUUUGGAGUCUUCUAAAAACCUCCUCGUUAACUUGUCUUCUUACUGCUCUUUCAAACCUGUUUUAUUAGAAAUAAACUGGGAAUAUUUUUGUUUUUAGCCAUUCUGGAGAAAUCUCAUUACUGAUGGUAAACCCUCUCUAACACCGAGAGCAGACACUUCCAACGUUCGAUCAAUCAGGGAACAAGCCAAAGGAUACCGUCUCCCAUUUGUUUUUGUAUUGAUUCAUCAUCCUGCACCCUCCGAGGGUAGUUUCAUUAGCUAUUGGGCAGUUGCACCACUUCGGUGAUAACUUCGUUCCACGGAUUUGGUACCAGACACCAAGGAUCGUUGUUGGAACAUGUGAAAAGGGGUUUGUUUUGGGGGACAUUUGUUCAUACCAGUUAAAGACAUAUUUUUUUUUCUAGUAAUAUUCAGGACAUUUCAUACUUUCAUAAUUUAAUUACACAUAUAUGUUUUUCUUUCUCCACAAAUUUAAGUACAUUUUAGAUAUAACAGCCAUACCUUACAGUUAGUAGUGUUCCCCAAAUUUAUAUAAUUCCUGGUAGAAGUUUCGAGCUCGAAUAUUCUCCACCUACAUGUUCUUUUCACUUGGUUUGUAUUAAUUUUAGACUUGUUUCCUCAUUUAAUUUAAAAAUAAUAUUAGUUCAAUUCACCUAAAUUUAAAAUCAUUUAACUUGCUUCAUAAUUUUCAAUUUUUAUUAGAUUUUUUGGUAAAUAUUAUUUAACUUUCGCUAUUAAACUUUUUAUAUUAAAUUCGAAUAAAUCCCUAGUACCCAUCCCCUCAGGAAGGUACUAGUUUUACUUGCUGUUAGUAUUUAGAACCACUAGUCAGAAAAGGAUCUUUGUAUCCAGUACUAAGUUGGUUCAUUUAGGGACUUGUUACCCGUCAACUCAUUGAGAGUUGUAUAAUAUAUAUUAUAUACAUUAGGUAUUUUCAUUGUUCUAAUAUCAGGUAGUAUUCAAUUAGGGUGUACGUAUUACAAUCGUACAAGUGUUAUUUGGUGAAGGGUUCAUACUAAUCUAGGUGUAGUUUGUACUUCCUAUAUUAGAGGUACUCAUUUGUAAAAUUUUCUAACCUCAUUCACAUUAUGGUUACAUUAUUUAAUUGUAUAAAUCUGUAAAUGACUUUCACUAGUAUCUACCAUUUCUUGUCAUUUUAGAGUCACAUACUAGUCACUUGUUUUAACUCAGAGAUUGUGAAUAUCUAGUAGUUAUAUUUAAUAAAUAUAUACAUUUAUUGUGAA